rnacentral:ribozyme from 1 species
UGCCUAGCAACACCUACCCCUACCUCCUCGUGGUACCGGCCGGAUACUAUGAGCAACCUUAGGGAAGAUCGGGUAACCAACCCCGGUCGUAGGCUGACAGGAAAGG